rnacentral:sRNA from 1 species
CGACGCAGCGUGACUUCACAAGGGGAGGGGCGGGCCGAGGGUCCUGCCGGCGCGCGGGCGUGUUCUUCAGUCGGUGUUUGGGACGCUGGGCGUGCGGUGUUCUGUUUCCGCUCCCGUUUCGCUGUCACAGCCCGUUCCUUCCCGGAGCCCGGGACAGGCUGGGCGCGCGCCCGUGACGCGUGACCAAAACCAAAGACGGCCAUGAAGUGAGAUCGUGCAAAGUAGCAGAUAAAACGGGCAGCAUCACUAUUUCCGUGUGGGAUGAGAUCGGAGGUCUUAUACAGCCAGGGGAUAUUAUUCGGUUGACCAGAGGGUAUGCAUCCAUGUGGAAAGGAUGUCUGACACUUUAUACUGGAAGGGGUGGUGAACUUCAAAAAAUUGGGGAGUAAGUAUUAAAAUGCAUUUUGUAUAAUUGCAUACAUUAUAAAUAAUAUCUUCGGAAUAAUUGGUAGGUAUGAAUUGUAAACCUCGUUGGCUUUUUUGACUAGUAAACUGAAUGUCUUUGGUAGCUUAAUUGAAAAAAUAACUUUGUCUGUACAAAUUUAACACCUGUCAGUACUGUUUUCUGUGGUUGAAAGUGUCAAUUUUUCCUGGCAAAGAGCAGUAGAAGAAGCUGCAGUUGAGACCAGCCCUAGUGGAAGCAUUUCUCUAGGUUUUAGAAAUGUGCAUUUUUUAGGUGUCACAAGAGCCAUUUGAAGUAGAUUCUCUUUUGUAGUGAUUCACCAUAUACGAAGCUAGUGAUUCACCAAGUUUCAGGCCAUAAGUUUAAAUUUUCUUUUUCUAUGGUUAUGGGUGAAUAUGUACUCAUGUUAAAAAGGACUUGCAGCAAUGAAAACUGAAGUCCUCUAUUUAUCC